rnacentral:lncRNA from 1 species
CCCGGAGGGCUCAGAGUUCGUCCCCUUUUCGCGAUUGGGAACGUGGACACGCCGGAGCCUGGAUGCAGAAGGGCGCGCGGGAACAGGGAGCUGGUGCGCGAGCCGCAGCCCAGCGUCCAGGCCGCCCCACUCUCUGCUGAUCCAAAGGACUAGGGAAACCCUGCGCGCCGACGGUGGCCUGGACGUUGGCGCGGGCCCUGGCGCUAAAAAACGGAUCCCAUUUCCAGAAAGGCGGGCCGGGUAUCCCGCUCCUGCCUCCUGGAGAAUUAGCUCGGCGGAGGUCGACCAGCCGGGUAGGGAGGGAGGGAUGGAGGGACAGGCCUAGGGUCGACCAGCCGGAUAGGGAGUAGCUUCUGGGAGCUCCCUUGCCUACGGAGGGCCGGUGAGGCUGCCCUCAGAGCGCCGCCAGGUACGUGCUUUUUCCUUGUUUCCCGCGCGCCCAGAGCACACUCUGGGGAGGGAAGGAAUAAAAACCCAGCUGGUGUGUAGGAGAUUUUCGCACCAAACGUGUCUUUCUGAGGGGUCCUGGGACGGUAGCCGAACUCGGGGUAGCCUCCUGAGCUGUAUUCUGGAAUCCCUACUGGGCUCUCCACCACCCGUAAGACGGGCUUGGAGCCAGUUCCUGUGGAAAUGCGCGUCACUUUCUUCAGAGGCCCACGAAAUUCAUCCAGGACUCCAUGGGUACUACAGCAAGAUGGCUCUGUUUCGAAGUGGUUCAUACAGUUAUCCCCCAACCCGGAAACCUAGAAUUCUCGUUUUCUGAACCGGGAUGUUUACUUUAGGGAAACCUGGUCUUGGCUUCUGCUGCGCGCCGGGUGUCUAGGAACGAAUCCCUCCUGGAUCCGGGAACCCCAGAUUUGCGGGGUUAGGAGAUACCCUCAGAGUUGUGGUUUUUUGUUGGUGGUGGUUUGUUAAGAGCCUGGUAGCUGAACUGGAGCGGGCCCCGUCCCCUCCCCCAUACCCACUUCAAACAAAAGAGCUCCUCCGAGAAUAUUUUUUAAGGGGAAAGCGCUUCUGAAUGUGGACCCUCAGUUCUCCCCGCCCCCCGUUCCGAGGAAGGACAAGGGUUUUAUAUGUGUGUUUAAAACAAAGGCGAAGCUAGACGCGAGUUGCCGGGAAAGGGCCGCUUUUAUUUUAAAGUUCUUGAAGAAUUCACUUUCUUUUCUCCCAAGUUAGCUGCAGCUGAGCCAGAAGCGUCCCCACUGGCUUACCCGAUAGUGGGAUUUUACACGGUGUCGGCUAAGGGUGGCUUUGUGAGAAGACCAUUUCAGAAGAAGAAACGGGGCUCUGGCUGGUGGGGUAGAAACCCCUAUGGAAUGAAAAGUACUCCCAGUCUCUUUGAGGAAGAUUGCAAAGUAAGGUGGGUUGUUUUUCUUUUGUCCCAUCCUUCCCACCCCUUAAAUUAGAAGAAAAGGCCCCCAAGCGUGCAGCACCAGGUGGACGUUUGGAAGCUGCGAGUGGAAUCUCGUUUAAAAACUUCCGGCCCCACGCACACCAAGUAUCCAUCUUCGUCGUAGUUGGGGUGAGGAAGAGUGUGACUUCCCUACCCAGAGUCUGGUUGAGCACGGAUCCCGCCGAGGAGAGAAGGGUCCCGGCCGGGGGGAAGGUCCCUCUUUCUGGGACAAAGCGAUCCUUAAUUGUGGCCACCUUCCAAAGUCCGGGGCGAAUUCGCUACGCGCGUCUGCCCGGGCGGCGCUUGGUGGGUAGUCCCGCUUCCACCAAAACUCUGUGUUUCCUUUCUCUCAAAAUAAAACUCAACAAGCCAUAAAGCUUCCGACGCCGGUGGAGAAGGCGCCGCGGAUUUAUGGCCCCUGAAUUCCCUACUCUCUAAUUAUCCUUGUUUUUACUUGACUUAUGGGUAGUGACCAAUAAAAUCAUUUUCCAUUUU